CGAAAGCCUGACGGAGCAACGCCGCGUGAGGGAUGGAGGCCUUUGGGCUGUAAACCUCUUUUCUCAAGGAAGAAGAUCUGACGGUACUUGAGGAAUAAGCCACGGCUAAUUCCGUGCCAGCAGCCGCGGUAAUACGGGAGUGGCAAGCGUUAUCCGGAAUUAUUGGGCGUAAAGCGUCCGCAGGCGGCCGUUUAAGUCUGUUGUUAAAUCGUGGAGCUCAACUCAUCACGGCAAUGGAAACUGUUCGGCUUGAGUAUGGUAGGGGCAGAGGGAAUUUCCGGUGUAGCGGUGAAAUGCGUAGAUAUCGGGAAGAACACCAGUGGCGAAAGCGCUCUGCUGGGCCAUUACUGACGCUCAUGGACGAAAGCCAGGGGAGCGAAAGGGAUUAGAUACCCCUGUAGUCCUGGCCGUAAACGGUGAACACUAGAUGUUGGGGGAAUCGACCCCCUCGGUGUCGUAGCUAACGCGUUAAGUGUUCCGCCUGGGGAGUACGCACGCAAGUGUGAAACUCAAAGGAAUUGACGGGGGCCCGCACAAGCGGUGGAGUAUGUGGUUUAAUUCGAUGCAACGCGAAGAACCUUACCAAGGCUUGACAUCCUGCGAAUCUCUAAGAAAUUAGAGAGUGCCUUCGGGAACGCAGUGACAGGUGGUGCAUGGCUGUCGUCAGCUCGUGUCGUGAGAUGUUGGGUUAAGUCCCGCAACGAGCGCAACCCACGUUUUUAGUUGCCAGCAUUCAGUUGGGCACUCUAGAAAGACUGCCGGUGACAAACCGGAGGAAGGUGUGGACGACGUCAAGUCAUCAUGCCCCUUACGCCUUGGGCUACACACGUACUACAAUGCUGCGGACAAAGAGUAGCGAUCUUGCGAAAGUUAGCUAAUCUCAUAAACCGUGGCUCAGUUCAGAUCGUAGGCUGCAACUCGCCUACGUGAAGGAGGAAUCGCUAGUAAUCGCAGGUCAGCAUACUGCGGUGAAUACGUUCCCGGGCCUUGUACACACCGCCCGUCACACCAUGGAAGUUGGCCAUGCCCGAAGUCGUUACUCUAACCUUUUGGAAGAGGGCGCCGAAGGCAGGGCUAAUGACUGGGGUGAAGUCGUAACAAGGUAGCCGUAGCGGAAGCUGCGGCUGGAUCACCUCCUAA
rnacentral:rRNA from 1 species